rnacentral:rRNA from 1 species
UACCGGAUUAACAACAGAUGAUGCCUAUCAACUGUUUUAAAAGAAUGGUUCUGCUAUCACUCUUGGGAUGGACCUGCGGUGCAUUAGCUAGUUGGGUAGGGGUAACGGGCCUACCAAGGCGAUGAUGCAUAGCCCGAGUUGAGAGACUGAUCGGGCCACAUUGGGACUGAGACACGGCCCAAACUCCUACGGGAGGCAGCAGUAGGGGAAUCUUCCACAAUGGACGCAAAGUCUGAUGGAGCAACGCCGCGUGAGUGAAGAAGGGUUUCGGCUCGUAAAAGCUCUGUUGUUGGUGAAGAAGGACAGGGGUAGUAACUGACCUUUGUUUGACGGUAAUCAAUUAGAAAGUCACGGGCUAACUACGUCCCCAGCAGCCGCGGUAAAU